UACGUAUGGAGCGAGCGUUGUCCGGAAUUACUGGGCGUAAAGCGCACGCAGGCGGUCAAUUAAGUCAGAUGUGAAAGCCCCGAGCUUAACUUGGGAAUUGCAUCUGAAACUGGUUGGCUAGAGACUUGUAGAGGGGGGUAGAAUUCCAGGUGUAGCGGUGAAAUGCGUAGAGAUCUGGAGGAAUACCGGUGGCGAAGGCGGCCCCCUGGACAAAGACUGACGCUCAGGUGCGAAAGCGUGGGGAGCAAACAGG
rnacentral:rRNA from 1 species